rnacentral:lncRNA from 1 species
AAAAUAUUAAGAUACUUCCUCCCCCAAAAUGUACUUUAACGCAUGUUUUGAAUAGUAAGUGUGUACCAUGCAGCACCUUUUUGGUAGCAGAGGGAAGUAUCUCAUAAAGUCAGCGACAGGAAUUUUAUAAUUUAUAAAAAGUCCUGCAGUCUUAUAGGCAAAGGUUAAUCCAUAUGUGCUCCACCCUGUGCAAAACUGAGCUGCAGUGCUACUGGGACACUGGUAGAUAGAUGGGUGUUCCCGGCUAUCACCUCAUCCCUGUCUCUCUGGAACCACGGAGACGCCAGUGGAUGGGUGUUCCCGGCUAUCACCUCAUCCCUGUCCCUCUGGAACCAUGGAGAUGCCAGUGGAUGGGUGUUCCCAGCUAUCACCUCAUCCCUGUCUCUGUGGAACCAUGGAGACGCCAGUGGAUGGGUGUUCCUGGCUAUCACAGCAUCCCUGUCUCUCUGGAACCAUGGAGAUGCCAGUGGAUGGGUGUUCCUGGCUAUCACCUCAUUCCUGUCUCUCUGGAACCAUGUAGACGCCAGUGGAUGGGUGUUCCCGGCUAUCACCUCAUCCCAGUCUCUGUGGCACCACGGAGACGCCAGUGGAUGGGUGUUCCCGGCUAUCACCUCAUCCCCGUCUCUCUGGAACCACGGAAACGCCAGUGGAUGGGUGUUCCCGGCUAUCACCUCAUCCCCGUCUCUCUGGAACCACGGAGACGCCAGUGGAUGGGUGUUCCCGGCUAUCACAGCAUCCCUGUCUCUCUGGAACCAUGGAGACGCCAGUGGAUGGGUGUUCCCGGCUAUCACCUCAUCCCUGUCUCUCUGGAACCACGGAGACGCCCAUGGAUGGGUGUUCCCGGCUAUCACAGCAUCCCUGUCUCUCUGGAUCCACGGAGACGCCAGUGGAUGGAUGUUCCCGGCUAUCACAGCAUCCCUGUGUCUCUGGAUCCACGGAGACGCCAGUGGAUGGGUGUUCCCGGCUAUCACAGCAUCCCUGUCUCUCUGGAUCCACGGAGACGCCAGUGGAUGGGUGUUCGUGGCUAUCACCUCAUCCCUGUCUCUCUGGAACCACGGAGACGCCCGUGGAUGGGUGUUCCCGGCUAUCACGGCAUCCCUGUCUCUCCAGUGCUGUAUGUGGCAAUGUGAGCCCUUACAUCUGUCUGUCCUUUCAGUAACGCACCCAAGUGAGACAACACUGAAAUGCACAGAUCUUUCAAAAGACAACUCUUGCAAGCCCCUCAGUUAUGAGUCUCCGGCGGUGAGGAAGAGCCUGCUCGUGUGUUCAAAACACUGGAGGACCCUUGGUCUGAGAACUAACCAAGGAUGAUCCACGACCUAGAGGAAGACAGACCAAGAUCAAAGAAGACCCCAUUUGCUUGUACCUGGAGUGGCACCACCCUGGACAUCAGGUGGUCAAAAUAAAGGUCCACUGCUUCGGUGAAGCCCUUGACUGGAACCAAGAACUAAGUGAACUGAUCUAGGGACCAGAAUCGAGGGCAAGCCCUCUUCCCUCUGCAUCAACAAGAUUUGGAUGAAGCAUAAGACCGGCUGAGUAAAAGGUCAGGCGCUCUGACCCCAGUUAGCUUACCGUGCCCACGCCCCAUUGGAGAAGAAAAUGUAACUUUAUCAAAAAAACAGCUACAAGGAGUAAGGGGAAAGCUCGGUGAUCAUCCUAUAUUUACUGAAGCCCCGGAAUUCCAAAACGGGCAACAGAAUGAAGCUUCCAACUCGAAAGACAGGACAAGGGAUGGAGCAGGCUCAUGGACAGGCUCAACUCGAGAGGCGGAAGGGACGACUCAUGGAUGACACAGUGAUGGCAGCUGCUCUUCUCCCGGCCCCACCCCAUCGCUGGCUUUCGCAGAGCCUCUGCCCACUACAAAGAAUAUUCUCAGGUGAAGGAGGAGAGCCUGCCUGGCUUCCAACCCAGACACACGAGCUCUGCCUUUCAGCAAGUGUCGUCGGUGCUGCUUCUGCGGGUCAGAGUGCUGAGCCUGCAGCGCUCCCACAACCUUCAGGAGUCCUUUCGGGGACGUUGUCAAGGCUCGGCACGUUUCUGUAACUCUUUAAGGAACUGUCUUCAAAAUCAGUUCAUAAACCACCCAUGAAAAGCCAUCUCCUUGAUUUGUAAUCACAUAUUUUUGCCUAAACAUGGAAUAAUCCAGCCUGAUCACCCCCUUUAUUUCAUAGACUUAGAGUCAAGUAUCAGUUGGCAAUCUGGGGGGAAACCCAUGAAAAGAUCCAGGUUAUUCACAACUGAGCACACUUUAUAAAUGAUUUGCAAAUUCGACAGUUUACUGCGUGCCUACCAUGUGCCAAUCAUCACAGCAGAGGCUGGGAUGGCACCCACAGCAUUCUAGGACCGCUGCUCAAGAGCAGUGCUGAAAACUGGGGCCAGAGAGCCUCUCAGGCAGCUCUCCUGAAGAAGUCUCCGUUCACUGGCUGUAUAAAC